AUAUUAGUCAAUGCUCGCAAGAGUGAACUAGCUAACUGAAUUUAUAAUCAUUCGAAGGGAUUUGAAAAAGGAUAUAAUAAUGUAAGGGGAGAAAAAAUGAUGCGCCCCAUUACUAGUAGUGCUGUCCAAAGCUGGUGCCAGAAGACUCGGUAAGGCCAGAAGCGCAAACGUUAGUCACACUAAACAGGCGUAAAGGGUGUGUAGGCAGCUUUUUAAAACUACUCUUUUUAAGUAUAACUACUGUGUAAACAGAUUAAAAAGGAGAGCAACUAAAAGCUAGAAUCAUAUCGAGGUUAAACAGAAUAAUACUUAGUGUAGGGAUUAAAUCCGCAAAUAUUAAGGGGAAUACUAUAAGGUGUAAGCUUUUUUCCACUAUUGAUUGACGCUGAGACACGAAGGUGAGAAAAGGGAAUAGGAUUAGAUACCCAAAAUACCUCUUACUGUCAACGAUGAAUGUUACCUUGUUAGUUUUUUAUAUAAAAUUAGCAUUGAUGUUAACGCGAUAAACAUUCCGCCUUGCGAGUACGGUUGCAAAACUGAAACCAAAAAAAUUAGUCGGCCUUGAAGCAAACGAAGUGAAGCAUGUUAUUUAAUUC
rnacentral:rRNA from 1 species